rnacentral:rRNA from 1 species
UACGAAGGGGGCUAGCGUUGUUCGGAAUUACUGGGCGUAAAGGGCGCGUAGGCGGGUUUACAAGUCUGCGGUGAAAGCCCCCAGCUUAACUGGGGAAGUGCCGUGGAUACUGCGGACCUUGGAGGAGGGUAGGGGCAUCUGGAACAUUGGGUGGAGCGGUGAAAUGCGUUGAUAUCCAAUGGAACUCCGGUGGCGAAGGCGAGGUGCUGGACCCUUUCUGACGCUGAGGCGCGAAAGCCAGGGGAGCAAACGGG